rnacentral:rRNA from 1 species
GUGAAACUGCGAAUGGCUCAUUAAAUCAGUUAUCGUUUAUUUGAUAGUACCUUGNUACUUGGAUACCUGUGGUAAUUCUAGAGCUAAUACAUGCUAAAAACCUCGACUUCGGAAGGGGUGUAUUUAUUAGAUAAAAAACCAAUGCCCUUCGGGGCUCCUUGGUGAUUCAUAAUAACUCAACGAAUCGCAUGGCCUUGCGCCGGCGAUGGUUCAUUCAAAUUUCUGCCCUAUCAACUUUCGAUGGUAGGAUAGUGGCCUACCAUGGUUUCUACGGGUAACGGGGAAUUAGGGUUCUAUUCCGGAGAGGGAGCCUGAGAAACGGCUACCACAUCCAAGGAAGGCAGCAGGCGCGCAAAUUACCCAAUCCCGACACGGGGAGGUAGUGACAAUAAAUACUGAUGCAGAGCUCUUUUGGGUUUUGCAAUUGGAAUGAGUACAAUUUAAAUCCCUUAACGAGGAACAAUUGGAGGGCAAGUCUGGUGCCAGCAGCCGCGGUAAUUCCAGCUCCAAUAGCGUAUAUUAAAGUUGUUGCAGUUAAAAAGCUCGUAGUUGAAACUUGGGCCUGGCUGGCCGGUCCGCCUCACCGCGUGUACUGGUCCGGCCGGGCCUUUCCUUCUGGGGAGCCGCAUGCCCUUCACUGGGUGUGCCGGGGAACCANGACUUUUACUUUGAAAAAAUUAGAGUGUUCAAAGCAGGCCUAUGCUCGAAUACAUUAGCAUGGAAUAAUAGAAUAGGACGUGUGGUUCUAUUUUGUUGGUUUCUAGGACCGCCGUAAUGAUUAAUAGGGA